rnacentral:rRNA from 1 species
GGGAUAACUACGGAAAAGCUGUAGCUAAUACUUGCUUUAGCACUCUUGAUUAAGUUCUUGAGUGUGUACUUGUUAAGCCUUUUAAGAAAAAAGUUAUUAACUUAAGGAAUUAUAACAAAGAAGCAACACGUAAAUGGAUUUUCCAUUUUUUAGUGUGUAUCAAUCGAGUUUCUGACCUAUCAGCUUUUGAUGUUAGGGUAUUGGCCUAACAUGGCUAUGACGGGUAACGGGGAAUUAGAGUUCGAUUCCGGAGAGGGAGCCUGAGAAAUAGCUACCACAUCUAAGGAAGGCAGCAGGCGCGUAAAUUACCCAAUUCUAAAGAAGAGAGGUAGUGACAAGAAAUAACAAUACAAGGCCAAUCUGGCUUUGUAAUUGGAAUGAUGGGAAUUUAAAACCUUCCCAAAACUCAAUUGGAGGGCAAGUCUGGUGCCAGCAGCCGCGGUAAUUCCAGCUCCAAUAGCGUAUAUUAAAAUUGUUGCAGUUAAAACGCUCGUAGUUGAAUUUCAAAGAAUCGAUAUUUUAAGUAACGCUUUGUAGAUUAAUCCACAUAACUGAUACUACGUAUCGACUUUGUGCGCAUUUUUCUACUUAUGUGUUCUUUUAAUUAAAAUGAUUCUUUUUAAGAUCUUUCUUUUUUGCUUCGGCAUUUUAGGAGAUCUUGUUACUUUGAGUAAAUUAGAGUGUUCAAAGCAAACAGAUUAUAGCAUCUUUAUGCGUUUGAAUACUACAGCAUGGAAUAACAAAAUUGAACAAGUCAGAAUUUUGUUCUUUUUUCUUAUUUUGGCUUAGUUACGAUUAAUAGGAGUAGCUUGGGGGCAUUUGUAUUCAGAUGUCAGAGGUGAAAUUCUUAGAUUUUCUGGAGACAAACAACUGCGAAAGCAUUUGCCUAAAAUACUUCCAUUAAUCAAGAACGAAAGUUAAGGGAGUGAAGACGAUCAGAUACCGUCGUAAUCUUAACCAUAAACUAUGCCGACUAGGCUUUGGAUGAAAGAUUUUAAAAUAAGAGUUUUUUCUCUGAGGAGUUAAAACUCUUAGAUUGCA